AUUGAACGCUGGCGGCAGGCCUAACACAUGCAAGUCGAGCGGAUGAAGGGAGCUUGCUCCUGGAUUCAGCGGCGGACGGGUGAGUAAUGCCUAGGAAUCUGCCUGGUAGUGGGGGAUAACGUCCGGAAACGGGCGCUAAUACCGCAUACGUCCUGAGGGAGAAAGUGGGGGAUCUUCGGACCUCACGCUAUCAGAUGAGCCUAGGUCGGAUUAGCUAGUUGGUGGGGUAAAGGCCUACCAAGGCGACGAUCCGUAACUGGUCUGAGAGGAUGAUCAGUCACACUGGAACUGAGACACGGUCCAGACUCCUACGGGAGGCAGCAGUGGGGAAUAUUGGACAAUGGGCGAAAGCCUGAUCAAGCCAUGCCGCGUGUGUGAAGAAGGUCUUCGGAUUGUAAAGCACUUUAAGUUGGGAGGAAGGGCAGUAAGUUAAUACCUUGCUGUUUUGACGUUACCAACAGAAUAAGCACCGGCUAACUUCGUG
rnacentral:rRNA from 1 species